CUCAUAAUUCGAUUGUUUCCUCUAACCUUUCUCUACCUGACCUAUUUCGUGCAGGUAUGUGAUAUUCGGAGACAAGGGUGUCAAAUUUAGUCUUUUUUUGGCUCAUGAGAUAUAAAUCUCCUUUUCAUGUGCAUUUAUCUCUCGAAGUGGUGUGUUACACAUUCAGAUUCUACUAUUUUACUAUGGCCUUUAUCAUGAGACUUAUAAUUUUUAUAUGCCUUGAUUUUCUGAAAACUGGCAUUUAUUUUGUUUUGCAUGAUUUAGACUACUCUUUUUGUAUGAAUUGAUCGGGGAAAUUACCAGGUAACUUCCUUUCAUUAUCCUCGGUUAAUUAUUGUGAUGUUCUAUUCUAAGUCGCAUUGUAGCCUACUUGGAAACAACUGCCCUCCUCAUUGGAAGUCUCAAUGUAAUUCUUAAAUCCCCUAAAUGAGAUAUAAAUGUACGAUGCAGUUUCACUUUCAUGAGACUGAAUUGAGAUGAUGCCACAAUUUGACUCUCGUGCUUUGAAAUGUGUCACUCGGAGCAACUAUCAGACAAUACAAUUUCCCAAAAGAAUCAUAUAUUUCCAAGUCAUUGUUAAAUUUCCCGCUGCAAUGCGCGGGGAAUCCUUUAGUUUACCAGUUAUUUCAUGUCUCAUGGCUUGUCCUCCACGUCGCGAGACUACUCCACCAAAUAGUCAGCUUCGCAAUAACCCCAAUGAUCAUCCUCAGUGAGUUUACUAUCUUCCUCGACAACACUUGGCACAGGCAUUAGACACACCAAUUUGUGUCUAAAUAGUACUUUUCUUUCAUCAUGUACAUCUCAAAGAAGACUUAGAAUUAGACAUACAUCGAUUAAAAAAUCGAGUCUUUACCGAAGAAGCCUGUGCUCGAAAUAAUCGAGCACGGGCUUUUCUGGUCAAAACGUAUCUUGUCUUUAUCAUGACUUAUUUUUCUUGGUUAACAAUACUUGUUGUUUUGCCGAUAUUUCAGGUUCAUUAAUUUGUUUACCUAGAUCUUCAAUGGCAAGAAUAACAAUAAGUAGUCGCCUCAUAGUAUUUAAGUAAAAAUGGACAAAAGGGCACAAGGUAGCUGACUCGUAUAUAUUCUUGAAACUGUCAAGUUCUUGAGAUAUAAAUAAAAUACACUCAAGGGGUUGCCGUAGAGGUAGAUAUGGAAAAAUCCAUUGGCUCACACUGUUCUCCUAAUCACGUACACCUACAGUACACACAAUUGUGAAAUAUCGAUAGCCGCAAUUGCCAUUGGUAACCUACUGUAACUCGAAAGAUGUAUAAUGCUGCUACUCCUAUUCCGUAAUUGUACAAGCACCAAUCAUACCAGGUCCAUUAUUCACAUCCAAUGAACCCAAAGAUUAGCAUACCCAAUAGGUAAAUAAUAUACAAAAUGGCAUUUUAUUGAUUACAGUUUAAUGAAAAAAUUCACCAUUGCUUUUAUUUCAGAAUUAGCCCGCGGUUGUGAUAAAAUGAUAAUUCAGUUGCUUUAGUACUAUGCUAAAUUUCUACAAGAAACAUUUGAAAUCGUCAUGAUAGAAUUGCUUCUGUUUUGGAACUAAUCAAACAAAUAGGAAGAACACAAUAUUCUUGCUAUGAUUUGCAUCAAGAAACUUAUAAAAAUGGCAAUACAUGAGAUCGGUUCUUACCACAAGAAGUGGAUGCCUUCAGUUCUGAAUCGUUGAGGUAAGGAAGCAGCAUCACCUGCCAGCAGGGAUUCGAGGACGGGCGAGAUCGGAGGAAGCUGCGCCAUGCGUGGAGGAGGGCUCAUGGCAUGACCUAUCCACCUCGAGAAUAACAACAAGCAAGCACGCACAACUGUUACCCCUGCCCUCGACCAAACCUCAUUGCCUACUAGAAGGAGCGGCUAUGGUGGCUCGAUGGCAUGGCCGCGCUGCAUGUCAUCCAGCAGAUCGGCGACGGCGCGACGCUAGUUCUCCCCAACCCUCACUUCUCUGUAACUCUUCCACGAAUUGCGUUAUCUGGGAGCAGCACACAACCUGUUGAAGAUACUCGGGGACGGCGGCCAGCUCGCACACAACCUCCAAUGACGCAGGUGCGGCACUGGGAGGAGGAGGGCGUUGGAUUAUGCAGGGACGACAGCGGAGAAGGACUGCAAGGUCAGGAGGAUGUGAUCUGAGGCCUACCACGCUCGUUGCCUCUCAAUGUCCACCUCUUUAAGGAGAACAUGAGCAAGGGAGAAAAUCGGCGGCUACAUCCCAAGAAAGGAAAGAGAGCGGGAGAGAUGAGGGGGAUUGACGUCCAUGCAUAUGUUUCCUUUUCCUNNNNNNNNNNGUUUGUUUUCCUUUUUCUUUUCUUCCCUUUUUACGUGUGUACCGAAGAAUCUCUAAUCAAUCUCUGAAAAAUCAAAUCUAAAUUAAUCAACUAUACCAUAAGUUCCUCAAUCACAUUAAUUAAUAUUUUGGGCAAGGUAUGGAAACGUUAAUUAAUGUAAUUUUUGAGAAGUAUGGAAAUAUUAUUUAAUGUGAUUGAGGAACUUAUGGUAUAAUUGAUUAAUUUAGAUUUAAUUUUUCAGAUAUUGGUUAUAGAUUAAUCAUAAUUGAUUUUUUCACAUAAAUACAUUACGUAAAUGGAAGGAGUAUCAGAGCGAUUCGGUUUUAGCAUGGGAGGGGUGGUGGAAGGUGAGACGAAAAUAAACCAGACGAAAAAACCGGACGAAAAUAAUCGGGACUAUUCAACCAACUCGUCCAUUAGGAGUAGAGAUCCCCAAAUGCAUACCUGCAUUCUGCCGUCGUCAGAAUCAGAGCUGAUGUACUGCCUAGUGUGCUCGCUGCUAUCGUCUCUUUCACUCCAGGACACCAUGACGAUGCGGCGGCGGUGGCGGCACGACGCGGAGCAGAGCGGCCGGCGGCGGCGAGCAAGAGCAGAGCGAGAGCGAGAGCGUGCGAGAGCAAAGUGAGAGUGAGACUGAGAGACAGAGGAGCGAAUCACUUAAGUUCACGUGCGAGAGCGGCGUCUAACGGCAUCUAACGGUUGUCCGACCAGUCGACAGCGCCACGUCGGCAAAAAACGGGUCCCACCUGUCAUAAAUCCACUUAUCGGUGCUCAAUCCGCCGAUCAGUGGUAUUUGCAAAUUGUUUACGGGAGAGCUGGUGUUUUUUGCCAAGAAACUGUAACGUAGUGAUUUCUGCUAACCUAGCCCUCAAACUGGUGGUUUUCUGCAAUUUACUCCACCGACUUCAUUUUUGCAAUGAGAAUGAACACUUCUUCAAAGUUCAUACUUUUCUCUUGCACAUACCCUUUGGCCACAAACCUCGCUUCGUGCUUCAUGCACCCUUCAACAUCUUUCCUGACCUUAAAUUCCCACUUGAGAUCCAUGGCUUUUUCAUUGUUGGAAAGAUCCGCAAGCUUCCAUGCAUUGUUAUCAUGAAUCGACCUCAACUCUUCUUCCAUAGCCUGACGCCAACACUCCAUCGUAUUUGCGUCAUUAAAAUCUGCCGGUUCCUUGGCACUUGGACACAGCCAUCCACUCCCGCCAGUUGUCACCGGCUCGCCCUCGCCGUGGUCGGCGCUCCUCAUGUCGUCGGCAUCUUCGGCCUCGUGCAAAGAAGAAAGUUGCUCACGCAACAAAAUAAUUCAUGCCCAUGAGAUUUAGCAAAACCGAUAAAUAAAAGAUUAAGCGGAUGAUACUUGAUUGAGACACAUACUUCAUCGCACAUUUACCAUACAUCAAUCAUAGAAUAGUCCCUUGUCAUUUUCUUUACCAAAUCAAUUACAUCCAAUGUUCCUAGAAAAAAUGAAAGUGAUUGUACAGAUCCAGUUAUCCCUUCUAGUUCACUCUGUCUAAUGCGUGUGCACGACGUAUUGUUCCUUCAUUCAACGUAAGUAGUGAAUUUGAUCUUGGUCUAUCUUGUUUCUUCGUUUGACCUGAUGGGACGAAAAAAUGGAAGUGAUUAUACAAAUCUAGUAUACCUAUGAGACUCAGCCCCAUUAUCUAUUUAUCUUAACAUGCACCAUGUCCACCUCAGCAUAGUUGCCACAUCACCAGUCCCGUUUGCAAUGUAUCAUUUCCUUUCCAACCCUAAAAAACAUAAUGACCAAUCUUUCUCCCGUGGGAAAAAUCUACCUCGCAAGGCGCAACCAUCUCACCGCGAUUCACUUCCUUCCCCACUUCAUUUUCUCCAGCAGAUUCGUUCCCAAUCAUGGAUGAUCAUUCACUUCAUUCCUUACAAGGAUGAGCGCUAAAAAAUAUCAUGGCUUAUAGUACCAAUUCAACAACUCCAAAUGUUUUUUAUCAUUCUUUUCUUAAUUAAUUUUUGGCUUACUCGUUUCUGCUUUUGAUUUUUAAGCAAUUACUUUUAGUUCAGUCCUCUCAUGUUAUAUUAUGCUUAUCCUGCACCUAUUAUCUUUAUUAUGUACUUACUUGUUAAGCUCAUCGUCAUGCCCACUAAGAAAGCAAAAUUUAUCAGCAUUAACAUAUGUUUAUUUCUCCAUUUUCUGAUUGUAGGAAUAUUGCUAUCAGUGUCAUACAAAGAAAUAAGAUAGACCAAGAUAUCACUCCAAAUGUACCGACCCAUUUCUAUUUCUCAAUUUUCUAAUUUUUGGAUGUACAACAAGUCAAGUGGUAUUAUAGCAAUGCAGUUUACUGUAUUUGUUCGCUCAUAAUUCGAUUGUUUCCUCUAACCUUUCUCUACCUGACCUAUUUCGUGCAGGUAUGUGAUAUUCGGAGACAAGGGUGUCAAAUUUAGUCUUUUUUUGGCUCAUGAGAUAUAAAUCUCCUUUUCAUGUGCAUUUAUCUCUCGAAGUGGUGUGUUACACAUUCAGAUUCUACUAUUUUACUAUGGCCUUUAUCAUGAGACUUAUAAUUUUUAUAUGCCUUGAUUUUCUGAAAACUGGCAUUUAUUUUGUUUUGCAUGAUUUAGACUACUCUUUUUGUAUGAAUUGAUCGGGGAAAUUACCAGGUAACUUCCUUUCAUUAUCCUCGGUUAAUUAUUGUG
rnacentral:lncRNA from 1 species